rnacentral:misc_RNA from 1 species
GAUGAGGAACGUAGUGAAAUGCGAUAAGUAAUGCGAAUUGCAGAAUUCAGUGAGUCAUCGAAUCUUUGAACGCACAUUGCGCCCUGUGGUAUUCCGCAGGGCAUGCCUGUUCGAGCGUCAUUUCAACCCUCAAGCCCCGCUUGGUGUUGGGCCCCGCCCGCUGUGGCCGGCCCUAAAGACAGUGGCGGCGCCGCCUGGCCCUCAGCGUAGUACAUCUCUCGCUCCAGGGUCCGGUGGCCGCCUGCCAGAACCCCCCAACUCUGUGGUUGACCUCGGAUCAGGUAGGGAUACCCGCUGAACUUAAGCAUAUCAAUAAGCGGAGGA